UACGUAGGGUGCAAGCGUUAAUCGGAAUUACUGGGCGUAAAGGGAGCGUAGGCGGGCGCGGUAAGUCAGAUGUGAAAUCCCGGGGCUCAACCCCGGAACUGCAUCCGAUACUGCCGUGCUAGAGGAUUGGAGAGGUAGCUGGAAUUCUUGGUGUAGCGGUGAAAUGCGUAGAUAUCAAGAGGAACACCUGAGGUGAAGACGGGUUGCUGGGCUGACACUGACGCUGAGGCGCGAAAGCCAGGGGAGCAAACGGG
rnacentral:rRNA from 1 species